AAAAACGUGUUUUAAAAUGAUAAUCAUUUAUUUUUAGAUUUAAUUUUGUUUAUUUAAAGUUCAAGUUUUGU
rnacentral:tRNA from 1 species